UCUCAUUCUCCUACUUCACCGACACACUCUCUUCUCUCUCCCAUUCUUUUAUUUUUCAUUUUACUUCAACCAUUUCUCCACCAUUUUACCUCCAACCUUUGAGAUUUUGAGCUUGCAUAGAAGGAAAAUUGACGGGGACUACGAGAGGAACAAAACCCCUCAAUUAAUUUCGGAUUUGGAGCACAUUUUUCCUUUGGAGUAGCUAGGGUUUGCUCCUAGCUUGAGGAAAUGGCAUUGCCUAAGAGGAGGUUUCUCAUCCCUAGCUUGAUUGGAAUCUUGACAACAUUUUUGAGCUACUUGUGAUAAUUGUGACAUCCAUUGUGUAGCUUACUUUUGGACUUGUAUUUUGACACAUGAUGUAUUUUGGAUAUUAUAUUUGAUGACAUGUUUGUAAUAUUCUUUUGGAGGAGGGAAAUGACGUAGGGACUCACCCAUCUAUCUUUUGAAGUUCUUAUGGAAUUUCCUCUCUUAUCUUUACUCAUGUAAUCCCUUAACAUUAUUUCUCACCUUAUGGAUUGUAAUGAGGCCAUGGUGGCCAUGACUUAUAUAGUGGGAUUGAACAAUUAUUGUUUAAGUUGUGUA